rnacentral:rRNA from 1 species
GAUGAACGCUGGCGGCGUGCCUAAUACAUGCAAGUCGAGCGAACAGACGAGAGUGCUUGCACCCUCUGACGUUAGCGGCGGACGGGUGAGUAACACGUGGGUAACCUACCUAUAAGACUGGGAUAACUUCGGGAAACCGGAGCUAAUACCGGAUAAUAUUUAGCUUCGCAUGAAGCAAUAGUGAAAGACGGUUCUGCUGUCACUUAUAGAUGGACCCGCGGUGUAUUAGCUAGUUGGCGAGGUAACGGCUCACCAAGUCGACGAUUCGUAGCCGACCUGAGAGGAUGAUCGGCCACACUGGAACUGAGACACGGCCCAGACUCCUACGGGAGGCAGCAGUAGGGAAUCUUCGGCAAUGGGCGAAAGUCUGACGGAGCAAUGCCGCGUGAGUGAAGAAGGUUUUCGGAUCGUAAAACUCUGUUGUAAGGGAAGAACAGGUACGUUAGUAAAUGAACGUACCUUGACGGUACCUUACCAAAAAGCCACGGCUAACUACGUG